rnacentral:rRNA from 1 species
UACGGAGGGUGCAAACGUUGCUCGGAAUCAUUGGGCGUAAAGCGCACGUAGGCGGCCUGUUAAGUCGGGUGUGAAAGCCCUCGGCUCAACCGAGGAAGUGCAUUCGAAACUGGCAGGCUUGAGUAUGGAAGAGGGUCGCGGAAUUCCCGGUGUAGAGGUGAAAUUCGUAGAUAUCGGGAGGAACACCAGUGGCGAAGGCGGCGACCUGGGCCAAUACUGACGCUGAGGAGCGAAAGCGUGGGGAGCGAACAGG